UCUGCAGCCGCACAGAGGCAUUUGCCAGGCAGGCGGGAGAGAGAGAGAGAGGGAGAGAGAGAGAAAGAAGGGAGCGGGCUGCUGCUGCACAGCAAUCCCCCGGUAACGUUUGGCUGACCAAAGCAUCAGCAGCCGCGAUAACAGCAAAUUAUUUUAAUUAACUAGGGUAGUUUCCCACCAUCUAAUGAGCCCAGUUAAAAUAAGCCGACAUCUUGCCGUAUCACGUGUUCACUAGGACUGGGGAGCGAUGGUUUGUAUGCUCCUUAAACAACAUGUGUUAAUCAAUUAAUUGAAAGCCCAGGCUGGGCACUCAAGGAGACCAAGAGAGCGAAAGUGGUUGAGAGGAGCAAGCUACUUCCGGUCCCACCUCCAGUCUACCAAGGAGAGACGGAGGCACGAAGGGAGAACGCCGAGGCGCGCAUCCACUGGACAGAGGGAGACGGAGAUGAAUCGUGAAGCUCUCCAGACUCCCCCGAGCCGUGCUACCCACCAUACAGAUCUCCUCCAAGCUGUUUUCGAGCAAGGCCUGCAACAUCACCAAGAACCCACAUACGCCUGUACCCAUCUUGGAUCUCCAGGCUGAAAGACAGCUUUUACCCACAAGCCAUCAAAUUUGUCUUGUUAAAAAAAAUGUCAGCCUUUAAAAGUAUAUGAAAACAUGAACACACACAAUAACAUGAUUGCUCAUGAAGGCUCAUUAUUUUCAACUAUUAACUAUUUUUUAACUG